rnacentral:pre_miRNA from 1 species
GUGUUACCAGGAGUUUCCUUCAAGCACUUCACAUGGAGAUUUAUAUCGCGUUGGCGAAAAGUCGCGUCUGGAACCAAUGUGAAGUGUUUGGGGAAACUCUUGGUGUCAA